UACGUAGGGUGCAAGCGUUGUCCGGAAUUAUUGGGCGUAAAGAGCUCGUAGGCGGUCUGUUGCGUCGGCUGUGAAAACCCGGGGCUCAACUCCGGGCCUGCAGCCGAUACGGGCAGACUAGAGUUCGGCAGGGGAGACUGGAAUUCCUGGUGUAGCGGUGAAAUGCGUAGAUAUCAGGAGGAACACCGAUGGCGAAGGCAGGUCUCUGGGCUGACACUGACGCUCAUGCACGAAAGCGUGGGGAGCGAACAGG
rnacentral:rRNA from 1 species